GACGAACGCUGGCGGCGUGCUUAACACAUGCAAGUCGAACGGAAAGGCCCUGCUUUUGUGGGGUGCUCGAGUGGCGAACGGGUGAGUAACACGUGAGUAACCUGCCCUUGACUUUGGGAUAACUUCAGGAAACUGGGGCUAAUACCGGAUAGGAGCUCCUGCUGCAUGGUGGGGGUUGGAAAGUUUCGGCGGUUGGGGAUGGACUCGCGGCUUAUCAGCUUGUUGGUGGGGUAGUGGCUUACCAAGGCUUUGACGGGUAGCCGGCCUGAGAGGGUGACCGGCCACAAUGGGACUGAGAUACGGACCAGACUCCAACGGGAGGCAGCAGUGGGGAACAUUGCACAGUGGGCGGAAGCCUGAUGCAGCAACGCCGCGUGCGGGAUGACGGCCUUCGGGUUGUAAACCGCUUUCGCCUGUGACGAAGCGUGAGUGACGGUAAUGGGUAAAGAAGCACCGGCUAACUACGUG
rnacentral:rRNA from 1 species